UUUUUUCUUUUUUACCCUCUGGUUCAUAAGGGGUUAAUUUUGGGAGGGGGUGCUUUUGAUUUAUCUUUUCUACUAUUUUCUACAUUUCACCAAAAUAAGUCUUUAUUUUUAUUAAUGCCCUCUUUUACUGUCUUCUUGGUUCUUUUUCUAAUUUUUAAAGAUGAAUACUGAGUUCUUGUACUUCUCAUCUUUGCACACAGAUUUCGUCGGGUCUUGUCGGUUUGGUUUUGUUGGGGUUUCCUUUCUCACUCUAGAGUUCACAAUUUCAAUUUUAGUUUCUAGUUCUAUGCAAAGGUUAUUUAGAAGGGUGGGUGUGAGCAUGCUAAGUCACUGAGAAUCGUUCGACUCUAUGACCCCAAGGACUGUAGCCUGCCAGGUUCCUCUGUCCAUGAGAUUUUCCAGGCAAGGAUACUGGAGACUUUCCUGGUGAUCCCAUGGUUAGGAAUUCACUUGCCAAUACAGGCGACAUGACUUCAACCCCUGGUCUGGGAAGAUCCACAUGCCUGGAAGCAGCUAAGCCUGCACGCCACACCUGCUGAGCCCGCUUGCCCUAGUGCUGGCACAGCGCGACAGGGAAACCACAAGAGAAGCCAGGAGACUGCAUCCGGAGAGCAGCCCGGCCUGCUGAAACCAGAGGCCGCCUGCACGCAGCAGCGGAGACCGGUGCAGCCAGAACUAAACAAACGGACAGACAAGUCACUUCUGAUUUCAUCAGGAGGUCCUAGUAAGGAACGCAGAACUAACAAGCUACCACCAACCAGAAGAAUUUGAGAAAAGGUCAAAAGGAGUGAGGAGACACCAGUCCAUCUAUCCUACCAACCUCCCAGAAUCCUCCUCGCUGGAAUCCAUCCUGGCAGAGCGAUGCAUGAGUCGCCAGGAAGGACCCUGAGCCAGAAGUGAUCGGCCAGAGACAACCUGGAAAGUAAUCCCAUCGCCCUAAGACCCGGGACCACGAGCCACGUGGCCGAGUAGUUCUCCUGGGUUCCCCUAGCCUCCUAGUCUUUGUCCAGGCACCCUUCCCCAAUAAAGUCUCUUGCUUUGUCA